rnacentral:rRNA from 1 species
GAAAAUGAGAGUUUGAUCCUGGCUCAGGACGAACGCUGGCGGCGUGCCUAAUACAUGCAAGUCGAGCGAGCUUGCCUAGAUGAUUUUAGUGCUUGCACUAAAUGAAACUAGAUACAAGCGAGCGGCGGACGGGUGAGUAACACGUGGGUAACCUGCCCAAGAGACUGGGAUAACACCUGGAAACAGAUGCUAAUACCGGAUAACAACACUAGACGCAUGUCUAGAGUUUGAAAGAUGGUUCUGCUAUCACUCUUGGAUGGACCUGCGGUGCAUUAGCUAGUUGGUAAGGUAACGGCUUACCAAGGCAAUGAUGCAUAGCCGAGUUGAGAGACUGAUCGGCCACAUUGGGACUGAGACACGGCCCAAACUCCUACGGGAGGCAGCAGUAGGGAAUCUUCCACAAUGGACGAAAGUCUGAUGGAGCAACGCCGCGUGAGUGAAGAAGGGUUUCGGCUCGUAAAGCUCUGUUGGUAGUGAAGAAAGAUAGAGGUAGUAACUGGCCUUUAUUUGACGGUAAUUACUUAGAAAGUCACGGCUAACUACGUGCCAGCAGCCGCGGUAAUACGUAGGUGGCAAGCGUUGUCCGGAUUUAUUGGGCGUAAAGCGAGUGCAGGCGGUUCAAUAAGUCUGAUGUGAAAGCCUUCGGCUCAACCGGAGAAUUGCAUCAGAAACUGUUGAACUUGAGUGCAGAAGAGGAGAGUGGAACUCCAUGUGUAGCGGUGGAAUGCGUAGAUAUAUGGAAGAACACCAGUGGCGAAGGCGGCUCUCUGGUCUG